rnacentral:rRNA from 1 species
UACGGAGGGUGCAAACGUUGCUCGGAAUUAUUGGGCGUAAAGCGCACGUAGGCGGACCAUCAAGUCGGAUGUGAAAUCCCCCGGCUUAACCGAGGACGUGCAUUCGAUACUGAUGGUCUUGAGUACGAAAGAGGAUCGCGGAAUUCCCGGUGUAGAGGUGAAAUUCGUAGAUAUCGGGAGGAACACCAGUGGCGAAGGCGGCGAUCUGGGUCGAUACUGACGCUGAGGUGCGAAAGCGUGGGGAGCAAACAGG